GACGAACGCUGGCGGCGUGCUUAACACAUGCAAGUCGAACGGAAAGGCCCCUUUGGGGGUCUUCGAGUGGCGAACGGGUGAGUAUCACGUGAGUAACCUGCCCUUGCCUUCGGGAUAACUUCAGGAAACUGGGGCUAAUACCGGAUAGGAAUCCUUGCUGCAUGGUGGGGGUUGUAAAGCUUCGGCGGUUUUGGAUGUACUCGCGGCUUAUCAGCUUGGUGGUGGGGGAGUGGAUUACCAAGGCUUUGACGGGUAGCCGGCCUGAGAGGGCGACCGGCCACAUGGGGACUGAGAGACGGCCCAGACGCCUACGGGAGGCAGCAGUGGGGAAGAUUGCACAAUGGGCGGAAGCCGGAUGCAGCAACGCCGCGUGCGGGAUGACGGCCUUCGGGUGGUAAACCGCUUUCAGCAGGGGCGAAGCUUGUGGUGACGGUACCUGCAGAGGAAGCACCGGCUAACUACGUG
rnacentral:rRNA from 1 species